rnacentral:rRNA from 1 species
UACGGGGGGGGCAAGCGUUGUUCGGAAUUACUGGGCGUAAAGAGCUCGUAGGCGGCUUGUCGCGUCGGCUGUGAAAUCCCGUGGCUCAACUGCGGGUCUGCAGCCGAUACGGGCAGGCUAGAGUUCGGUAGGGGAGACUGGAAUUCCUGGUGUAGCGGUGAAAUGCGCAGAUAUCAGGAGGAACACCGGUGGCGAAGGCGGGUCUCUGGGCCGAUACUGACGCUGAGGAGCGAAAGCGUGGGGAGCGAACAGG